GCAAGUGGAAUGCAUGAAGCCCUUAAGCGGUCCUGUAUCUAACAUCAUCUUGCGAGCAAUGAGUCUAUACAAAGGUUUGACCAAAACCACGAUGUGGAGUCUAAUCCUAUAAAACCGAUCGUUAUUUCCGGGAUCGCAGUUCUGUCCACUGCGACAGCGUGAAGUUCGGAAUACGCCUAGUAAUCGUGAAUCAGAAAUGUUCUCGGAGUGUACGUUCCCGGGCCUUGUACACACCGCCCGUGAAUACAGGUAGUGAAAUGCGCGGACCGCCUGCCUUUUCAACACAUAUGUUUUGAGCGGGCCCCGCG
rnacentral:rRNA from 1 species